UGUGACCUCAAAUCAG
rnacentral:rRNA from 35 species